rnacentral:rRNA from 1 species
ACGUGAUCUGAGUUCAGACCGGAGUAAUCCAGGUCAGUUUCUAUCUAUAAAGAGACUUUUCUAGUACGAAAGGACCGAAAAAGCAUGGCCAAUGCCUCAUAUAAGCCAUAUUUAAUAACUUAUGAUUAAAACUUAAUAAGCAAUUAAACUUACAUUCCUCUUAAGAAAAAAGAA